UGCAGUCGAGCGGUAGAGAGAAGCUUGCUUCUCUUGAGAGCGGCGGACGGGUGAGUAAUGCCUAGGAAUCUGCCUGGUAGUGGGGGAUAACGUUCGGAAACGGACGCUAAUACCGCAUACGUCCUACGGGAGAAAGCAGGGGACCUUCGGGCCUUGCGCUAUCAGAUGAGCCUAGGUCGGAUUAGCUAGUUGGUGAGGUAAUGGCUCACCAAGGCGACGAUCCGUAACUGGUCUGAGAGGAUGAUCAGUCACACUGGAACUGAGACACGGUCCAGACUCCUACGGGAGGCAGCAGUGGGGAAUAUUGGACAAUGGGCGAAAGCCUGAUCCAGCCAUGCCGCGUGUGUGAAGAAGGUCUUCGGAUUGUAAAGCACUUUAAGUUGGGAGGAAGGGCAGUUGCCUAAUACGUAACUGUUUUGACGUUACCGACAGAAUAAGCACCGGCUAACUCUGUGCCAGCAGCCGCGGUAAUACAGAGGGUGCAAGCGUUAAUCGGAAUUACUGGGCGUAGAGCGCGCGUAGGUGGUUUGUUAAGUUGGAUGUGAAAUCCCCGGGCUCAACCUGGGAACUGCAUUCAAAACUGACUGACUAGAGUAUGGUAGAGGGUGGUGGAAUUUCCUGUGUAGCGGUGAAAUGCGUAGAUAUAGGAAGGAACACCAGUGGCGAAGGCGACCACCUGGACU
rnacentral:rRNA from 1 species